AGGUGAUUCUCUCUGAGUUCGAGGCCAGCCUGGUCUACAUAGUGAGUUCCAGGACAGGCUCCAAAGCUCCGAAGAGAAACCCUGUUUGGAAAAAAACAAAAAUUUAAACUGAGUAUGGUAGCAUAAGCACUAUAGUUGGGCUUUUGGGUUGAGACCCUCUCAUACUCUCUACCCUCAAGAGUUCUGUAAUUAACCCAUAACAAUUUUUACUGUUUUUAUUUUAUUUUUUAAAUACCUGCAGCUAAGGCUGGUCUGGAACUUGCCUUGUAGCCCAGGCUGCCUUUGAACUAGUGAUCCUUCUGUCUCAACCUGAAUGCUGGGAUUUACAGGCUCCCCCACGACUUUCUCUCCUCUUCACCCAGUCCUAGUUUGACGUCCGUCUCCUGGAUACCAGACAGCCAAUCGUCUGGCCUCUAACGUCCGGCGCGACCAAUCAGGCAUCGUUGCUACCUGAAGAAGACCACGGAAGGUUGAAGGAUAAUCUACUAAUACCAGCACUUUGAAUGAGAAUUUGUUUCUCUGCCACAAACUGAUUUUUUAAAAAUUUUAUUUUUCUGGUGGAGGAGUUGAAAGAAACCUA
rnacentral:lncRNA from 1 species